rnacentral:lncRNA from 1 species
CAGGGCCAAUCUUCCUCACACACACAAAAAUAAAAUGACAGCAUGAAACCAAGAAAACAAUGUUCUUAAUUUUUAAUACCUUGCGUGUAGCCAUAAAUGUAAUCAAUUUCUGAAAACAAGCUCCUCAAUGAGAAAAAUGAAACGGUUUAUAAUGUUUCCCUAAGAAAGGAAUAUUCGGCUCAAUGUGCUAAGUUUGUGAGGACGAUGAGGCACUCCAUCUAUUGGAGGCAGUUACACAGGCGCAGUGGCCAGGCUGCUUGGAUUGGAGUCCCAGCCCCCACUAAGGAGCUGGGAGACCCAGGCCGAGAAAACUGAGGCUCAGAGAGGUCAAGUGACUUAAGGUUACACCAUGAAUGAUGGGUUCAAGACUGGAAUUCAGGGAGACCUGAGGUUGUGCAAAGAAGAAAAAGAAAUCACGAUUAUCUAAUAGUUCCUGCUGCAGUCAAGAUGAGGAAACUGAGGCCCAAAGAGGUAUCCAAAAUUCAACCCCCAUCCAGUGUUUCAAGAUUUGGGAAUGAACAUCAUAAAAUCCUGUAAUGUUAGGACCAUUUCACUGGUCUCAGUGAGCUAUCUUCAGUAGGCACUUCCUGGACAUUGCCCCUGGGAUGAGAUGACAAAGAAAGAGACUUGCGCUGUUUCUUCUGAGCAUCACGUUUGAAAAAUACAGGUGAGAUUCUCUCUGCUGGAAAGAGGAGUCUUCAGGCAAGUCAGUUUCUCUUCAGUCCUCAGAGGAAAAGAGCCUGUGUGGCAACACAGAAACCGGUUGCGAAACGAAUGUGCACGAGCCACGGGCCACCAACAUGGCUCAGCAGGCGAGGCCUGGAUCAUGUGUCUGACCUUCAGCAGAAGCAGUGAAUAUGGGCGUCAGCAAAGUUCACCCUUCUUGGAUACCAUCGCAAAGAACUAUCAGAUCAGAUCUAAUUUGAGCGAUCGGGGCAGGGGAGAAGGCAAAAACAGGAAACUUGGGAGAUUUGCUAAACAUUUCACUAAGGAGAAGAGUCUGCGGGCUAUGAGACAGUUUUUCAGAGGGAAACUAAAAGUCAGGCAGUGUUUGAGGGCACAUGUGAUGUCACCUAGACUUUUCAGAGCCUCUGGCACCCAAUUACCCAACCCGCUUCUGACUCCAUCGUUCUUUCUAUGUUCUCUUGGGAGCUGGGAAACA